CAUAACAACCUGUAACUAACAGUAGACAACUGGAUUGACACAACUUAUAGUGUAAAGCUUAAAAAAUGUAAAAUCUGGUAUCGAUCUCGAUUCCAUCCUCGAUUUUGAGGUACCAAUUCGUAAUUCCUCUUUAUCAUUAGUAUUAUGUGUAUGUGUUUCAUAGAUAUUUAUUCUGAUUUGUUGAUGUUAUAAAACUUUUUAAAAUAGUCGAAUGAAUUCAUGAUAUUUAGUCAUUGUGUUUAACUCACACCAGGAAGAUAUCAUUCAUGAUGGCCAAUUAUGACAGUGAUCAGUGUUGUUUCUGAUGUUUGUAUUUUAUAGGCAAGAUCACUUAUUUUAUAUUAUUAUUAAGAAUUGGUUCUUAGUUGACAUUUUAAGUUGAAGGCAUCUAGGUGUCUGACACCAAGCGUCUCUUAGGCUCUCGUGUCGGUUGCAUUUACUUGCUUCUAGUAUUUUGAAUUAUUACACGUUGAUGUUAGACACCGACACGACACAUGUGGUUGUAUUCAAUUAUUUUAGGUUUAUUGAAUAUUCAAUGUGUCUAGUCUAUGUAACAGUUUUAGUUGAGGUACAUUGAUUAUUCAUGUUAGUGUCGAAUUUGAUGUUGAUUGUGAAAUCCAUAUUUUAAAAGAGACAUAAAGAUGUGGGAUCUGUCUUAAAUUCUUAAGAGAACACACACCCUUAUUAUGAAAAGCUGCUAAAGAUAUUAAAAUUCAAGUUGACAUGUGAUUAUAGGGACCACAAAAAACUAAGUUAACAACUUUGAAUUGGUUCUACAGUUGGAGAUUCUGUAAACUGUAAAUGCAGAUGAUAUUAGUUUGUGGUAGAGAUUUGAAACGUAUUUUGUCUGGAUUGAAUAUGAUAGGUUGCAUGUUGAUGAUCUUUGGAAUUGUUUUGUUUUUUUUGCAGAUUAGUAUUGUUGUUUUACUUCAGCUUGGUACUGCUAUUGUACUUAAGGAUGCAGGAUGGCUGAAGAUACUUCUAGUAGCUUAUUUUUUCGGUUCAUUUCUCAACCAUAAUCUGUUCUUGGCAAUCCAUGAGCUCAGCCACAAUCUCGCUUCUCAUCUCCAGCAUACAACCGUUGGCUCGGGAUUUUCGCUAACCUCCCUAUCGGUGUGUGGAGCAAUAACAGCAGCAGGAUUAAUGGCAGCACAUGGUAACAAGAAUAGUUGUAAGAAGUAUGGGAUUAUUACCCUCACUGACUGCCGGUCGACGCUUGACCCACCGCUCUCAACUCACCAAUUUGACUUUCAUGGACGCUGACCUGAACCAAGAUGGCAAAAUAAACAUGGUCGAGUGGCGAAAAUUUGUACCUUAUGUUUGGUGCUUUAUGGAAAUUCCUUUUCCGGGUCUGUUCCAAAUGAGAUUCAGAAUCUUAAGUACCUUCAAACUCUUGAUUUGUCUCAGAAUUUCUUUAACGGGUCAUUUCCUGAUUCAGUUCUUGAAUGUAAGAGACUUAAAGCUCUUGUUUUGAGUAGGAACAAUUUUACUGGCUUUUUUCCUAAUGGAUUUGGUGCUGGUUUGUCUUCUCUUGAAAAGCUUGAUCUUUCUUUCAAUGAUUUUCAUGGUUUGAUUCCUAGUGACAUUGUAAAAUUGUCGAGUUUGCAAGGAAAUCUUGAUUUGUCUCAUAAUCAUUUUAGUGGUUCAAUUCCGACUAGUCUUGGAAAUUUGCCUGAAAAUGUUUAUAUAUACCUCAUUUUGAAUGCUAGUUCUGUACGGGCUUUCAUUUGUUGAUUAUGUAUAAAGGAAAAUUGUAUUCAUCAUGUAGUAUCUCUCUUUACACAUGAGUGUUUUGAAUUUGAUAGGGUGUAAAGGUUUAGGAUCUCAUGUAUUGCACUGGUUGUAAACUUCAACCGGCACAAAGGAAACAUCUAUUAGGAAAGUUGUGGCAAACUUCUCUCGAAAUCGAAGAUUAUCUUCGGGAUCAACUCAGUGCAAAAAACACGGAAGUGAACUAUCUAAAAGAGCAUGCUUGCGAUCUUGAUUUGAAGUUCAAGGAGAUGGAAGAUUUACGAAAAGAAGUUUUCACCUUAAGGGAGGAACUGAAUAUCUCCAAUUCAAAGCAAUUUUCUUUGAUUCGUGAGCUAGAGACUAAAGAAGCGGAGUUAGAGCUAUCAGCAUUGUCCGUGGAGAAACUGGAUGAACCAUUUUCAUCCAUGGAGUCUCAGUUUGAAGUUGAAACUAUGAAGCUUGAUAUGAUGGCCUUGGAACAGGAUUUAUUUGAGACCAAGAAAGUUCAGGAUGAAACUCUAGAAGAAAAUAAUAGAAUGAGUAGAUUGAUUAAUGAGUUACAGGGUGCAUUGCAUGAAGCACAAGAUACUAUCGUCUAUUUGAAUGAAGAAAAUAAGGAAAUUAAAGAGAAGUUUGACGCUGCCAACAUGAAUACUAGAUUGUUUUCUCAAAAGGUUGAAGACUGGCUGGAAAGCAAGGACAGACUGCAAAUCAAGGAUCAGUCGAGAAGCAAAGCAGAGGACACAAGAAAUUUGCAUGGAAAUGUAGAUCAGCGAAAAUGAAGGACCUAAGAGAUCAGCAGCCAAAAAGAUACAACUGUGCCAAGUACUGGUACAGUUAACCUGCAAUAUUGGAAUAUCAUGUUUAUAAUACCAUAGACUGCUUUGUGUCCCGUAAGAUAAGUUGGCGGUCCAAAAUUCACACACGGAAAUGUGAAAUCCUCGAAUGUCCUCAUAAGCCAAGAUAACGAUGGCUGCAUUUCAGAUUUCGGCCUGACACCAAUCAUGAAUGUUCCUGCGACCCCUUCCAGAACCUCAGGGUACCGUGCUCCCGAGGUAAUCGAAACUCGGAAACACACUCAUAAAUCAGACGUGUACAGUUUCGGUGUCCUCCUUUUGGAAAUGCUUACUGGUAAAGCGCCACAACAGUCUCCAAUAUUAACACAUUAUAAUAAACAUACCAGAAGUUCAAUCUUUGUUUCUAUGUAUAGAUUUGUGAUUUUGGUGUUUGAAUUUGUUGAAUGAAGAGAAGCGGAGUCGAUCUCGAAGAGAUCGCUACGAAACAACGCGGAGAAGUUUGAGUUUCAAGCCGAAGU